rnacentral:lncRNA from 1 species
UGAAUUAUCAAAUUGAAUACAUUGGGUGACUUUUCUCAGAAGUUUGUAUCCCCAUAAUUUGUCAUCUGUAGUUUGGUGGCAUGUGCUUGGAAAUUGCAAUUGCAGCUGUCAUAAAGUUUGCUUCUCUAUAAACGUGGUUAAAAGAGAUGGUGCUGAAACCUUGUGCAAUUUUCUUGAUGUCUCAGACAAUUUGUUGAAUCCUCUAAGAACGUGGACUGAUUUUCUCAUUAACUACAUAAAUGACUAUUUUUGAAGGAAGCAAAUUUGCCGACCACAUUUUUUUGUCCACCCUUGUGUCCACCCACCUAAUCUAAUAUCAAAUGUUCGCUCUCUUAACCAGUUCUAACCAUGGUUACAAUAUAAAAUUGUAAUAAAUGAAUUAUGUUUUAUAUUGCAGUAACUUAUGAUUUGGAGGAUGCUCCGUUCAUUGAUCGAGUAACUUAACUUGACUGAAGUUUGAUUGAUCGAGUGCCUUAACUUGACUUUAUGAUUUGGAGGAUGCUCCGUUCAUUGCAGUAAGGAGGUCAUAUAUAUAAUCAUUGGAGCGAAUCCAGCUUGAAGCAUGUACGAUCGAGUUGACUUUAUGCAUUGAGCGAAUCCAGCUUGAAGCCAACCUGCAAAUAAAAACUCAAGCCCAUAGUUAAAGAAAACUCAAUAUAAGCUAAUUAAAGAAAACAUAAUUUAUUUAUUACAAUUUUAUAUCAUAACCAUGGUUAGAGCUAGUUAAGAGAAAAUACACUUGGUAUUAAAAUAGGUGGGUGGCAUAAAAACAUGAUCGGCAAAUUUGCUUCCUUUUUUUAUCCUCUUCUAGUAACUUUAGCGUUGAGUAGGGUGUCUCAUAAGACAAUUAAUGCUUCUGACUAUUGGAAUUGAUCGAUCAACAUCUUCUAUGAUCUUCGCACAAACAUGCAUGUUUAUCUAUAAGGAUGGGGAUAAACUCGAUCAUAUUAAUUCAAUGGAGUGUGGGAUAUGACUUUACAAAUGUCCCGUAGGCCGUAGGAGGAAAAUGACGCGAGUGCAAAGCAACAAAUUCUACAUAAUAGCCUGCCCUACCAUGGGAGUGAGUAGGUGCAUUUCAACUAAUGCAAAUCCAAGUAUAUAAAUAUAUAUAAGGAUAGAGAGCGGACGUCCACACUUUGGCUUAAAGUGCGGACGUCCGCUCUACAUCCGGCCUGUAUAUAUAUAUAUCUAAUUGAUCUUGCUCAAAAGAAAAAACAUAUCUGAUUGAAACCAUCCCGUGAGCUAUAUAUAUAUUACUGUCGAUGGGGUAUAGUUUCCCACAUUUAUAUGACCUAGUGACGUAAGGAGGGACGCAUAUAGGGCACAUAUAUGAUCCAUAGUUUUCGUACGUUAGCUUCUAUGUUUUUGUAUCUGGACUUGAUUUGGGUCUCUAAAUCUAAAACAACAAAUGUAGAGACAUGUGAGUUGUUAGCAUGCAAAGUCUGUCAACAUAAUCGUGUGAAAAGUCCCCCGAUUCAAACUCCUAUUGCGGCUACGUUGUCCUCUUCUCUUCUACCUCUUCUUUCCCACUCGUAAGUUUGAACAGUAAAAUCAUAGUGUACCCUAGAAUUUAGAUGUCAUUUUAGAUUUUUGACGAAGCUAUUUUAACUGUUCCAAGUAUAUGUUACUGUACAAUUUGAUGGUCUAAUUUGAGCACUGGAAUACUGGAUGGUUCAUAGUGAAAGGUCUAUCAUAUUCACUUGUACGUGCACUCAGUUUUCCACAUCCCUUGAAAUCUUCUUCGAUGAAGACUUGAGAUCGAGUACCUAACACGUAUAUUGACUAUGUGGACUCAAAUUCUUACUUAAUUGAAACGUACUCUUCUCGAUAAACCUUAUCGCAAAAAAACAAAACCAAAUAAAGCAUUACUAGCUAGUUUAUACUUUCUUGUCCAGAAAGAAAAAGAAAAGAAAACGUGGGGGUCUCAGAAAAUGAUCCCUAGCUCUUUCUCACUCGCUCACUCUUCUUGCAGCUUCGAGGCCAAGAAGUCUCUAU